rnacentral:rRNA from 1 species
UGGGGAAUUUUUCGCAAUGGGGGAAACCCUGACGAAGCAACGCCGCGUGGAGGAUGAAGGCCUUCGGGUUGUAAACUCCUGUCGACCGGGACGAAAACUAUCCGACCUAAUACGUCAGGUAGUCGACUGUACCGGUGGAGGAAGCCACGGCUAACUCUGUGCCAGCAGCCGCGGUAAUACAGAGGUGGCAAGCGUUGUUCGGAAUUACUGGGCGUAAAGGGCGCGUAGGCGGUCUUGUAAGUCUUGUGUGAAAUCCCUCGGCUUAACUGAGGAACUGCACGGGAUACUGCGAGACUUGAGUUCGGGAGAGGGAAGCGGAAUUCCGGGUGUAGCGGUGAAAUGCGUAGAUAUCCGGAGGAACACCGGUGGCGAAGGCGGCUUCCUGGACCGAUUACUGACGCUGAGGCGCGAAAGCUAGGGGAGCAAACGGGAUUAGAUACCCCCGUAGUCC